rnacentral:misc_RNA from 1 species
GAUCCAGCCGUCGGAUCCGCCUUGCCAUGGGGACAGCGCUGGAACAGCCAGUACCGAGAAAGAUGAGAGCCGAACUAGCAGCACCACCAGCACCGUCAUUAGCAACCGAGGAAGAAAUUGCAUCAAUGCCAUUCUGGUAAAGAAUUUGAGACUCCAUUGCAAUUUGAGUCUCUGUGUUAAUGUGAAAGGGAAUCCAGGGAUCUAGAGAGAGAGACC